GUAGACAUAGUUUAAUAAAAACAUUAGAUUGUGAUUCUAAAAACAAAGGUUAAACUCCUUUUGUCCACC
rnacentral:tRNA from 1 species